rnacentral:rRNA from 1 species
UACGUAGGAGACGAGCGUUGUCCGGAAUUACUGGGCGUAAAGCGCGUGUAGGCGGAUGAGCAAGUCUGCUGUGAAAGCUCCUGGCUUAACCGGGAGUGGUCGGUGGAAACUGCUCGUCUGGAGGACGGUAGAGGUAGGUAGAAUUCCCGGUGUAGUGGUGAAAUGCGUAGAGAUCGGGAGGAAUACCUGUGGCGAAGGCGGCUUUCUGGACAGACACCGACGCUGAGGCACGAAAGCUAGGGGAGCAAACAGG